CCAGCCUUAGUCACCUCGCGGACACAGGAAGAGAUGGGUGUGCGGCUGGCGGGCACGAGUGUUAAUUAAGCUUUAUUGUGGCUUUGUGGCGUUGACGAGUGGCGUGGCGGUGCCUGGAGGAGGAUGGCACUGCGGUGGCGGCACCAGGGAGACGGCGUUGUGUUGAGUGGUUUUCAGAGUUCUUUCUGCAGUUCUCUUUCAUCACGAUCUUUUGAACAAGGUACACGCAUGGCAGCCCUCACACUCACCUGCCAUGCACAAUAUUCUACCUGUGCAUGAAUAUCGUUGUCAUGAACUUGCCUAUACACUACCGUGCCGCCCUGCCGUCCUCCGCCCUCCGCCCAAUAACGGGAAGACUGCAGACUGCAAACUUAACAUGAGUCAGGACCACCUGGCCUCAAUGUAUCGAUAAAGGCCAGAAGACUGCAGGCAAGCUGGGCCCGGACUCUAGACGCAAGGGAGAUAAUAUGCAUUGCCUGGCGGGACGUGAAGGUGAGGGGCGCACUGGAGCCCAAACCGAGGCCAACAGUGGUGGUGGCGGGCGGGGACCGGAACACUCCUUCGCCGUGGAGGGGAGAUCCUGAGGCGCCUCGGCCAAACCCUGAGGUUGGUUCUCUCCGUCGGGUUGGUGUCCACGUAGACCUUCAGAGUAGACAGCACCAUUGUCCUCACCUCCUCCUGUGAGAAGCUACCGCCCUCCCCGGGUGGACCCCUGGGACCCGGCAGCCCAUGUCCCCGCGGCCCACGGUCCCCUGCAGUGCCGAAGACUUGGUAACCACGAGGACCCCUUGGACCCACGUCGCCAGUGAUGCCAGGAGGCCCUUGAGGACCCGGGCGGCCUGAGGGCAUAAGGGGAACUACCUCGGGGUGCGCGCCUUCCAAGUGGGACUGGAAGAAAAGG